GGUUGCUCAGUGGUUAAAGCGCUCAGCUGCUAACCGAAAGGUCGAUGGUUCAAAUCCACCAGCUG
rnacentral:tRNA from 1 species